UCAGGAUGAACGCUAGCGACAGGCCUAACACAUGCAAGUCGAGGGGCAGCACAAGGAGCAAUCUGAGGUGGCGACCGGCGGCACGGGUGAGUAACACGUAUGCAACCUGCCUGUAAGCGGGGAAUAACCCGUUGAAAGACGGACUAAUACCGCAUAAUACUAAAUUACUGCAUGGUAAUUUAUUUAAACAUUUAUGGCUUACAGAUGGGCAUGCGCAUGAUUAGCUAGUUGGAGAGGUAACGGCUCCCCAAGGCAACGAUCAUUAGGGGUUCUGAGAGGAAGGUCCCCCCACACUGGUACUGAGACACGGACCAGACUCCUACGGGAGGCAGCAGUGAGGAAUAUUGGUCAAUGGACGAGAGUCUGAACCAGCCAAGUCGCGUGCAGGAAGAAUGUCCUAUGGAUUGUAAACUGCUUUUGCAGGGGAAUAAAGUGCAUCACGUGUGAUGUUUUGUAUGUACUCUGCGAAUAAGGAUCGGCUAACUCCGUGCCAGCCGCCGC
rnacentral:rRNA from 1 species